rnacentral:lncRNA from 1 species
UCAGAGAGAAGAGAAAACUUACUCAGUAAAUAACCUUCCUCCAGAUAGACCGGGAAGUCCAUUCACUGUCGGUUCUCUAAUUAAACAGGCAACAAGAAUUCUUCAACAUUGUGUGAAGAUGAGACUUUCUUUAAGCCAUAACUAUCGUAUAUGCUGCUGGAAAAUGGUACCUGGGAUAAAUGAUAGCAAUAUACUGCCUUUGGUUUUGAAAGAGUCACUCAUACCCAGUGUGGGAAGAUUUCUUGCCUACUCUGAUGACAAAGUACAUGCUAUCUUUUUAGAUGGCAUUACUCUAACCCUAAAUUGGAAUUUCAGCUCUCCUAUUGAGAAGAGACAGGUAAAUCAAGGUCUUAACUUAGGUUGGUGUAAGUUAACUUUUCCUGAUGGACAAGAGCAGUUAAUUCAGAUUGAACACCCUGAACCAUAUGAAAGAUAUGUGACAACAGUAACAUCAUGGUGCAGGAGACUGACCCAGACUAGUCCCAGAGAGAUGCCCACUCAUUCGUCAUCUUCUGUUCUCCAAGAAAAUUGGUAUUUUUCUUUUAAACUUAAAUCUGUUUAGAAGAGCUAAUACUUUAAAAAAAAUUAAAAUGUCAAAUGGUAAACUGAGACUUUUUUCCCCAAAAAAACUUUCUUAGUUUUGAAUAUGUUUAACUCCUAAAGUAUUUUUGAUAGCUUAAGCUUGAAAAUAAUUUCUAAUCAGACAUCUAAUUUAUUACAUUUCAUCAUAUUCUAUUUUACCUAAAGGUAAGAAAACCUUGCAUUGAAAACUUAACAUGAAAAUGAGUGGCUCUUUUUAUGUGACAAAUUCAUCCUGAAAACUUUAUGGAAAA